CGGGACGGGGUGAGUAAUGUCUGGGAAACUGCCUGAUGGAGGGGGAUAACUACUGGAAACGGUAGCUAAUACCGCAUAACGUCUUCGGACCAAAGUGGGGGGACUUCGGGCCUCACGCCAUCGGAUGUGCCCAGAUGGGAUUAGCUAGUAGGUGGGGUAAUGGCCCACCUAGGCGACGAUCCCUAGCUGGUCUGAGAGGAUGACCAGCCACACUGGAACUGAGACACGGUCCAG
rnacentral:rRNA from 1 species